UAGGGAAUCUUCGGCAAUGGACGGAAGUCUGACCGAGCAACGCCGCGUGAGUGAAGAAGGUUUUCGGAUCGUAAAGCUCUGUUGUAAGAGAAGAACGAGUGUGAGAGUGGAAAGUUCACACUGUGACGGUAUCUUACCAGAAAGGGACGGCUAACUACGUGCCAGCAGCCGCGGUAAUACGUAGGUCCCGACGUUGUCCGGAUUUAUUGGGCGUAAAGCGAGCGCAGGCGGUUAGAUAAGUCUGAAGUUAAAGGCUGUGGCUUAACCAUAGUAGGCUUUGGAAACUGUUUAACUUGAGUGCAAGAGGGGAGAGUGGAAUUCCAUGUGUAGCGGUGAAAUGCGUAGAUAUAUGGAGGAACACCGGUGGCGAAAGCGGCUCUCUGGCUUGUAACUGACGCUGAGGCUCGAAAGCGUGGGGAGCAAACAGGAUUAGAUACCCUGGUAGUCCACGCUGUAAACGAUGAGUGCUAGGUGUUAGACCCUUUCCGGGGUUUAGUGCCGUAGCUAACGCAUUAAGCACUCCGCCUGGGGAGUACGACCGCAAGGUU
rnacentral:rRNA from 1 species